GACACAGAUUUCUGAUUGGCUGAUCACGGUGGGAGGGAAAACUCUGUGGUUGACGUCACCAACGGGCCGGAAUCUGCAAGCGGGAGAAGUGCAGAGAACGAGAGACUUUUGACGACCGUUUGUCGUAUUUUUUCUGCGUUUUAACAAUCCGUGAGGUGAAUCUCCAACAUUUUUUUUGCUUGUCUGGAAAAGAUUCAAGUAAAAUCUUUGAAGUUUGCACGGUGAUCUAAAUACACGUGAAAAUGAGUGAAUCAGAACCCAUGUUCCUCCACACUGCCAUUAUGGAGGUCCUACCAGAGCCACAAAAGACAUCCUGGAAGAACACUUGCAGUCCAUUGGAAUAAAUGGAGUUGUAUGAGGAUCUACGAUUCAUAGAAGAGGCUGACUUGCUGCCAGCUUUGAGACCUGUUCAAGCCCGGAAACGUCUUGCUCUCUGGAAAUUGAAAUACCAAACGCCAGAGAACAGCACAUCGUCAUCUGUUGAGACCUCACCAACACAAUCAUCAUCACUUUUGUUAUAGUCACCGAGGAGUUCGUCAUCCACAUCUUCUAGAAGCCGAGGACUGUACAUACAUUGACUGGGAGGACAGCUUUGAAAUUCCAUGGAGAGGAUGCCAUGUUCUUGUAGAAGAUGCAGACGAGGUCCAGCUGCAGCAGGUGCCGUUGACUCCAACUGUUAUUGUAUGUGGACAGUCUUUCUUUUCCCCAAGGAGGUUCAUGCUGAGUUGGGACCGCUCCAUCGUACACAACAACAUUGCAGCACUGUGCCUGAUGUUCAGAAGCUACUUCUGCUUUAACCGUCAUUAUCCAACUGAGCUGGCUUCAACCCUGGAGUUUCUGCAAAGCUUAUGUCCUGAGAUGUGCCACUCUACCUGGUUGGGAACAAAUUGAAGAGACCAAGCUCAAGAAAGCCGUUGUCAACAAAUGUAGGGCAGAGCAGGUUCUAAGGCCACUGCUAUGAUCUACAGUAUGCGGACUGGUUUCUCUUCCAUCUUUUUUCUUAUUUUUUAUCUUAAUUUGGUUCUCAAAUUGGUCCAUGGAUUUGGUAGGCUGCAAGUUUAGGAGAAUGUUUUUAUCAGGUACUUUUUUAUGUGGUUACAUAAUCUUGUUUUUUUGUACCUCAGCAGUGAUGUCAGUGUGUUUGUUGUUUAAAAUAUGGAAGUUUUCUUUACCAUCAUGUCAGCCACAUUUAGUACGCCACAGUUCAUGUACUUAAUGCAUUUAAUAUUUUAAAAAGUGUUUAAUACUGCUACCACAAUUCAAAUGCUGUACUGAUGAUGGUGCUGCCCAAAUAAAGUGUAAAGCAUUUACA